rnacentral:rRNA from 1 species
UACGUAGGGGGCGAGCGUUGUCCGGAUUCAUUGGGCGUAAAGAGCGUGUAGGCGGCCAGAUAGGUCUGCUGUGAAAACUCGAGGCUCAACCUCGAGAUGUCGGCGGAAACCACUUGGCUAGAGUCCGGAAGAGGAGAGUGGAAUUCCUGGUGUAGCGGUGAAAUGCGCAGAUAUCAGGAAGAACACCCGUGGCUAAGGCGGCUCUCUAGUACGGUACUGACGCUGAGACGCGAAAGCGUGGGGAGCGAACAGG